rnacentral:rRNA from 1 species
CCUACGGGAGGCAGCAGUGGGGAAUAUUGCACAAUGGGCGGAAGCCUGAUGCAGCGACGCCGCGUGAGGGAUGACGGCCUUCGGGUUGUAAACCUCUUUCAGCACGGAAGAAGCGAGAGUGACGGUACGUGCAGAAGAAGGGCCGGUUAACUACGUGCCAGCAGCCGCGGUAAU